GUCUUGUCAGAGCUCCUGGAUGCCAUGCUGGGGAGGUGAAGGACGAAAUGGUUGGCACAGAGAUGAAGCAGACUGAAAUAGGGACAGACGCCAGGGUGGAGCAGUCCAUGAUGGGUUCUCAGACCCUGAUGGAAAAGGUUCUGUCCCAGCCUCUCACACAGUUGUAUCCUGCCGCCAGCCCAGCACAGGGAACAGUGGGGACAGGCAAUCUCAUCUUGUCAAACCAAGCAACAUGGGUCUCAUUGAGGCUCAGAUGGAAGAUCCCAUGCAUCUCCUGGAGAUAGUCAGCCAGUGAGGCCAGUUGGCAGAAUGUGGAAGAGCCAUUUGGUGAUGGGUUGGAGGAUUCACCAUGUAGGUGGCAGCAGCUGCAGUGCCUGGGGUCCCCAUGGGCCAAGCCUCCACUCGUGACACUCCAGGCUAAUCUCCCACUGCUCUCAGUGGGGUUUUGGCUUUAGCUGCUGGGCCUGCGUGCCUAGACAGAGGACUCAGGUAUUUCCAUCAGGCUGCUCAAUGGCAAAUGGAGUCAUCCACAGAAGUGAAGAAGAAUGGAAGUGAAAGAGCAAAGCUGGACCAUCCGCUGAGCUGCUGCAAACAAGUGAGCAGAGCCGGGGAGAGAAGAGGAAGAACUCGAAGAUGGCUGGCGGCAGUAGGGAGGAAAAGCAGUUUGGGAGC